UGGGGAAUAUUGCACAAUGGGCGCAAGCCUGAUGCAGCCAUGCCGCGUGUAUGAAGAAGGCCUUCGGGUUGUAAAGUACUUUCAGCGGGGAGGAAGGGAGUAAAGUUAAUACCUUUGCUCAUUGACGUUACCCGCAGAAGAAGCACCGGCUAACUCCGUGCCAGCAGCCGCGGUAAUAUGGAGGGUGCAAGCGUUAAUCGGAAUUACUGGGCGUAAAGCGCACGCAGGCGGUUUGUUAAGUCAGAUGUGAAAUCCCCGGGCUCAACCUGGGAACUGCAUCUGAUACUGGUCAGCUAGAGUCUUGUAGAGGGGGGUAGAAUUCCAUGUGUAGCGGUGAAAUGCGUAGAGAUGUGGAGGAAUACCGGUGGCGAAGGCGGCCCCCUGGACAAAGACUGACGCUCAGGUGCGAAAGCGUGGGGAGCAAACAGG
rnacentral:rRNA from 1 species